rnacentral:rRNA from 1 species
CCUACGGGAGGCUGCAGUGGGGAAUAUUGGACAAUGGGCGAAAGCCUGAUCCAGCCAUGCCGCGUGUGUGAAGAAGGCCUUCGGGUUGUAAAGCACUUUCAGUGGGGAAGAAAGCCUUGGGGCUAAUACCCUCGAGGAAGGACAUCACCCACAGAAGAAGCACCGGCUAACUCCGUGCCAGCAGCCGCGGUAAUACGGAGGGUGCGAGCGUUAAUCGGAAUUACUGGGCGUAAAGCGCGCGCAGGCGGUCUGAUAAGCCGGUUGUGAAAGCCCCGGGCUCAACCUGGGAACGGCAUCCGGAACUGUCAGGCUAGAGUGCAGGAGAGGAAGGUAGAAUUCCCGGUGUAGCGGUGAAAUGCGUAGAGAUCGGGAGGAAUACCAGUGGCGAAGGCGGCCUUCUGGACUGACACUGACGCUGAGGUGCGAAAGCGUGGGUAGCAAACAGGAUUAGAUACCCUGGUAGUC